UGCCAAGUAGAAUGUGAGUUCGCAGGGAGU
rnacentral:piRNA from 1 species